UUUGGAUUUCAGGAGGAAUUCACCAUUGUAAUUUUUUAGAGCUAUUGUUUAAGCAACAGUGACCACGUGCGUGGCCGUUGGAUGUUCCGGUACAUAGGGAAAAAGUGAAAAAAACACAUUAUGGUUUUCACCGUGACAUUAUGAGGCGGAGGAAUAUUUCCGUCAUUGUCUGUAGUGCGGCAGUUUAGAGCACAAACAAGCGAGUUCAGAAGUUUUGUCGUGUUGUAGUAUUAAAUCCAAAGUGGCUUAUGUCUAUAAUCUAAAUGGCACAGAUUGAAAUGUUUAUAUCUUGUUUUCUAUUCUUCAGUGGACCUGGCACAACAACAGAAAAGGACCACAACGUUGACCUGUUCGAAUGUGCAGAUAUAGACGACACACAGAUGAAAGAUGAACAACAAGGACAGUGUUGGGAUGUAAAGACAACUGAAGAGCCGGCGCUCAACCACGCGGAUUUGCCCCAAAGAACUUACGACAUAGAUAUAUCAAAGGCCAAGGACCGGAUUGCUGAAAUGGAUGACUCUGGAAAAUUCCAACUUCUUCAGACCAGAAGACCACCCAAAUCUUUUACUUUCCCUGCCAGACACUUUAAAGACAACCGAAGAGCCAGUGGGGUGACCAAAAGGACAUGCCAGAGGGACUGGCUGGACAAGUAUGACCUUUUAUCAUACUCUGCCCAGGAAGAUGGUGUGUACUGUUUGCCAUGCAUUUUGUUUCCCGUUGAGAUUCAGAGUAGGAGGGCUAGUAUUUUGAUAGACCUGCCAUUUACCAACUGGAGAAAGUUCACUGAACAAAUUAAUACACACAUGCAACUGCAAUACCACCAGAGUUCUGAUGCAAAGUUUCAUGCAUUUGUGGAUGUAAUGAAUGGUCAACAAACAAGGAUUAACCACAUGUUGAAUUCUGAGAUGGAUAAACGUGUUGCUGAAAAUAGACUGUUCUCUCAUCAGUUGUGAAAUGUAUAGAGCUGUGUGGGCGUCAGGGCUUCGCCCUAAGAGGCCACCGAGAUGAUCCUACAUCAGAAAGUCUAAACAAAGGCAACUUUCUUGCACUUCUCAAGUUCAGACAAGAAGCAGGCGAUGGCCCACUUAAAAAUUACUUGGACUCAUGUGGUCAAAAUGCAAA